UCUAAAAAAUUAUAAUAAAACUUUGAAUUUUAUUAAGGGACUGAAUAACUCCCUUUUAGAU
rnacentral:tRNA from 1 species